GUGGGGGAUAUUGCACAAUGGAGGAAACUCUGAUGCAGCGACGCCGCGUGAGUGAAGAAGUAUUUCGGUAUGUAAAGCUCUAUCAGCAGGGAAGAAACUGACAGUACCUGAGUAAGAAGCCCCGGCUAACUACGUGCCAGCAGCCGCGGUAAUACGUAGGGGGCAAGCGUUAUCCGGAUUUACUGGGUGUAAAGGGAGCGUAGACGGAAUGGCAAGUCUGGAGUGAAAACCCGCGGCUCAACUGCGGAAUUGCUUUGGAAACUGUUAAUCUGGAGUGUUGGAGAGGUAAGUGGAAUUCCUGGUGUAGCGGUGAAAUGCGUAGAUAUCAGGAAGAACACCGGAGGCGAAGGCGGCUUACUGGACAAUCACUGACGUUGAGGCUCGAAAGCGUGGGAAGCAAACAGGA
rnacentral:rRNA from 1 species